rnacentral:rRNA from 1 species
UACGUAGGGUGCAAGCGUUGUCCGGAAUUAUUGGGCGUAAAGAGCUCGUAGGCGGUCUGUCACGUCGGCUGUGAAAACCCGAGGCUCAACCUCGGGCCUGCAGUCGAUACGGGCAAACUAGAGUGUUGCAGGGGAGACUGGAAUUCCUGGUGUAGCGGUGAAAUGCGCAGAUAUCAGGAGGAACACCGGUGGCGAAGGCGGAUCUCUGGGCCUUACCUGACGCUCAGGUGCGAAAGCUAGGGGAGCGAACAGG